AACGAACGCUGGCGGCAUGCCUAACACAUGCAAGUCGAACGAGACCUUCGGGUCUAGUGGCGCACGGGUGCGUAACGCGUGGGAACCUGCCCUUAGGUUCGGAAUAACUCCCCGAAAGGGGUGCUAAUACCGGAUAAUGUCUUCGGACCAAAGAUUUAUCGCCUUUGGAUGGGCCCGCGUUGGAUUAGCUAGUUGGUAGGGUAAAAGCCUACCAAGGCGACGAUCCAUAGCUGGUCUGAGAGGAUGAUCAGCCACACUGGGACUGAGACACGGCCCAGACUCCUACGGGGGGAAGCAGGGGGGAAAUUUGGAAAAGGGGCGAAAGCCUAAUCCAGCAAGCCCGGGGGGGUGAUGAAGGCCUUAGGGUUGUAAAGCUUUUUUACCCGGGAUGAUAAUGACAGUACCGGGAGAAUAAGCCCCGGCUAACUCCGU
rnacentral:rRNA from 1 species